rnacentral:lncRNA from 1 species
UGGGGUUCGUGCGGCAAUGAGGAGCAGAAUGCGGAACGCCUCCCCCGAGCACUUUGUUACUCCGCACAGUGGGGAUCAGCGCGGCGACGCUGCGCAGCUGACGACGCAUGACAACAGCAAACCCCGAGACACGGAGCAGCUCCAACGCAACGGCUCCUUUAUUUGGGCUCUCCGUGGUGGGCGGCGCGCCUUCCAGCUAGCCGAGGAUCAGCAGCGUCUGCUGCGCCAGGCAGCGCACGGCCGGCCAGCUGUCCUUCUCGGCGCUCUGCAGGGCUGCAAUGGAGCGGAGCGGCGCUGCGUCACCGCGUCGGCCCGCGCGGCGCUGCCCGGGGCACGCGGGAUGGGGGGGCAGCAGCUCACCUGUGCGGAUGUCCGGCAUCUGCCCUCGGUUCUUCUUCUUCAGCCGCAUUGAGCCGGGGGUAGCGCUCCAUGGCGCUGCCCCCCUUCUGAAGCUGCAGAGAGCACCAGGGUGCGGGUGGCACCUGCUGUGUGCCACCCCCCGCCUUGUGCUGGAGCAGGGGGGGUUCUGGAGUGGGGGACGGGGCGGUUGAGGGCUGGGGGUCCUUACCAGGCAGUCAGCAAUCCUCGACAUGUCCCCCUUGCUGGCCAGGUGUUGCAGCUGCUUCCAGCCCAGGAGCUUGGCGGCGUGGGUGAGGGCAUUCUGAGCGGCCUGGGGGCAGCGACACAGGGGGGUGUUGGCGGCAGAGCCUGGGGGGCCCCCCCAUCCCCACCCGUGGGCGGCACCGUAGCCGGUACCAGCCCACAGGGUGUGGGGGGGUUGAGGGGGGGAUCUGGGAGGACUGUACGCGUGGGUGUGUGGGGGGGUUGCUGGUCAGACCCGGCGACCUCAGAGGCCCUUGCCAGCCUUCGUGGUGCUGUGACUGAAUGGGGCAGGCUGGGGUCGUGCCAGGUGACCCCGUGACCCCACGAGCUGCCCCUACCUGGGCCACUCUGGGGAAGUCCUCAUUCAUGCUGAAGAAGAGUGGCAGCAGACUGCUCUCCGCCUGCGGCAGCAGCUGCCUCUUGCCCGGUGCCGUCAGGAGCAGCGCAAAGACUUCCAUGGAGCGCCAGCGCAUCUCGACGUUGUCCUGGGGGGCACAGACAGAGGGGUGCUGAGCGAUGCACGGUGCCGAGGGGGGGGUGGCUGCUCCCUGCUGCCCCACGCGCCUCACCUCAUAGAAGAAGCCCAGCAGCUGUUUUCCCAGCUGGCUGAACACGCUGCGCAUGCUGGCGGGGCACUGAGCCGCGAUGUCCUGCAGCAGCUGCAUGGCCUGCACCUUCAUGUGGGCCCGCUCAUCCUGCAGCCACUGCAGCGCGUCGGGCAG